rnacentral:lncRNA from 1 species
ACGCGCCGCCGCUGUCCAAGCACUGUUCCCGCAGCCAGAAACCUUGGCAGCACUGUUUCGGCUUGCAGAGGGUCAUUGAUGUAAUUUCAGAUGGUUUUGAGGCCCUUAUUGUAAUUUUAAUGUAGUUGUUUUGUUUUUUUAUUUUGAAUUUGUUUUUUUGUAAAUAUGGAAGAAAAAGAAAAAAAAAGAAAAGAGAAGAAAGAGAAAAUAAUAAUAAAAAUGGGGAUGUGUGUGUUGGUGUAUGUUUAUUUACUUAUUUUGAAUUUGAAUUUGUAUUUUGUAUUUGUAUUUGUAUUGUGGAUGUAAAAGAAAAGAAAAGAGAAAAGAAAAAAGAAAAGAAAUGAAAAUAGUGAAUGUGGG